UGCGGCGUAGCUCAAAUGGCAGACAGAGCGCUGGUCUAGUAAACCAGUGUGUGCGGGUUCGAGUCCCGCCGCCGCAU
rnacentral:tRNA from 1 species